AAUGAACGUUGGCGGCGUGGAUUAGGCAUGCAAGUCGCGCGGACCAGCAAUGGUUAGCGGCGAAAGGGAGAGUAACGCGUGGGUUAUCUGCCUCUUGGGCCAGGAUAGCUGCGGGAAACUGCAGGUAAUACUGGAUAAUGUCUUCGGACCAAAGGUGUGAUUCCGCCGGGAGAUGAGCCCGCGUCCUAUUAGCUAGUUGGUGAGGUAAUGGCUCACCAAGGCUUAGAUGGGUAGGGGGUGUGAGAGCACGACCCCCCUCACUGGGACUGAGACACUGCCCAGACACCUACGGGUGGCUGCAGUCGAGGAUCUUCGGCAAUGGGCGAAAGCCUGACCGAGCGACGCCGCGUGUGGGAUGAAGGCCUUCGGGUUGUAAACCACUGUCGUAGAGGAGGAAAUUCUGGGGGGUUCUCCCCUCAGUUUGACCUAUUCUAGGAGGAAGUCAGGGCUAAGUUCGUGCCAGCCGCCGCAGUAAAAC
rnacentral:rRNA from 1 species